rnacentral:lncRNA from 1 species
CGGAAAAGUCGCCGGUUUCUGGGAAAUUUUUAAAUCGCCAUAACUUACUCAUUUCUUCACUAUUUUCAACACUUUUUAUAUCAAAAUGAAGAUCUUGACGAAAUGAACACAUACAUACUUGCCUCGACCCCUAACUCGCCGGGGAUUCACCGGAAAAAGCUUUGAAAGUUCCGGCCGAAAUUGAAAAGCUCCGUUCUCCGUCCUCCGACGUCCAAAUUCUACUAACGAAGUACCCCGACGCUCAUGAGGACCUCCUUAAGCUCACUGUGAGAUUAAAAUUCCCUGAAACACAAUGUUUUACGUGUGCAUGAACAGUGCACAUUUUCGGGGUUAUGGUUUCACGAUGAUAUCGAAGGUUUUAAGUUCUAAAAUUAGUAUAUUUGAACUCAGGGACUCAAGAGGAGUUCGAUUCUUACCUUAGAACAUUCGAUUUGUGAAGAUUUGAGGGCUUUGUUCUUUGUCCGUACGGUUUCGAGAGGGAGAGAGUGAGAGAAUUGCGAGGGAAGAGAGAGAGGGUACGGGGAAGAGAGAGAGGAGGUGUCCCGUGUGUGGUCCAACCAAAACAUCACAAUCCAAUUUUCUUAAGUCCCUAACCACACAAAAUACAUACAACCUUUAAUCCAACGUAAAUUUUCCAAAACUUAGGAAAGUAUACAUUAUUCAAUAACAUGUCACACACAUACCUUAAUCACCUUAAGGGUAAUUUCGUCUUUUCACAUCAACAAUAAGGUAAUUCCGGGACAGGUUGUGACAUUAAAGAAAUUAUGAGUACAAAUAAAAGUUAAAAAAAAUAAGGGUCAAAAAGAAAUUAAUAUAUGGGUACAAAUUAAAAUUUAAAAGACAAUUGGUACAAUUUAAAAAAUGAUUGCAAAUUAAAAAUGGGUACAAACUAGAAAUAGAAAUAUAUGAUAAAAAUUUUAGCCAUAAAUAAAAUAUAUCAAAUGUAACGUUUCUAACACUAAAUGUGUGACGACUCUUCCCUAGUUUUCACUAUAAUUUCUUUUCCGUUGGUGUAAUUUGAUGAUUUUACCCUUCUUUGGACAAAAAUGGAAUCUGACGUGGAUGUAGUUCUUUUACUAUUGUUUUUUUUUUCCUGGGUUCCUACUUCAAAAGUUCUCGUCGUUACGAACGCGUAAGCGCGUGUUAAACUCGAAUCGGAUCUGUAAUGAAAAAGUUGCGCUUCCUUAAAGUACGUUAACCAUGGGUAUUUUUGUACCCACGUGUACAAAAUAUCAGUGUCGGAAACACUGUCAAGGAGACAAAUUUUGUACAUUUAAAAUUGUACAAAAUCCAUCCAUCCAUUCCCUAAUUGGUGGAUCUGGUCUCCCAUUUCAAAUCCCAUCAAUCACUUUCUUCAAUUUUCUCUCAUCCACUUCUUUUCCCCUCAAAACCCUUACAAACAAUCAAGCUCUCUCCCUCAAAUUUGGCACCAAUUAGACUUCACUUCAUCCUCACCACUCAACCAAUAAGAAACCACAAUUCUCUUUCUAGCCCAAACUCUCUUCUCUCUGCAACUUGCAAGAUCGAUGUCAAAACUCACGUAUCGAACUUUCAACCCACCACCGUUGUGUUCAUCUCCUCACCACGAACACAGCCAUACCCCUAGAUCACGAUUUGGACGAGUUUUGACUUGCCAAAUUGGAAGGUCCGACUCGACUUAGUUUUUCUCCGACGAGUUACAAGCGAGUUACAAGCGAGUUACAAGUUUUUAGGAAGUCUAAAGGCCUCCACUCAACUCUCCGAGGUCUUUAGUGAAGGUUUGAAGAAGAAACCUCGAAGCACAAGGUUUUGAGAAGUCGGAGUUUAACCUAAACCUUUCAAGCCAUUUUCAAGCCACCUCCGUCCACUUUUUGGACUUCCAAAAGAUACAAUCGUGUUCUACUUUUCAUAAGCUUCAUUUCCAAUUAAAUUUUGUGAGAAAUGGUUGAGAAAUGAACAAGUUUUGAAAUUUUGAAAUUUUACCCAAAAACCGGCUAAGAUUUCCAUAUUUCCGGUGAGUUUAGACGGCAACGACCAGCAAGGACCACUGGAGAAAACGACGGAAUAUCCUAACGACGUCAGGUAACGUCGUUACCAUUUAACGAAAUAUUCCGUCACUUUAACGGAAUAUUCUUAAUAGCCGUUAGGGCCUCCGUCAGUCGAUGCCCGCGCGUGGUGGCUCGUGGGGUCGUGCCGUAUGCUGAGCGUCCAGCCCUCGAUUGGCUUUUUGUCAAUUUGUGUAGGUCCGUGACAUCAAAUAGAUUGAUUUUGUAUAUUCAAACCUUAUAUUUGAACAAACUACAGAGGUUUUAUUUAAAUUUCCGUAUAUGUGUUAUUAAACUAAUUAAAUUAGUAAUUUCACGUAUAGGGGAAACGUAUCCCGAGGAAGUACGGGGUCAAACAAGACUCGGAGGCUUCAUUCCUACUGCGUAUCAAUGAGUGGGUAUUUUGUUUUCAUAUAUAUAUAUACACACACACACACAUACAUAUAUGGUAUAGUUUCCACAAAUGCUUUUAAAUUGGUUUAUGCAUAUUACGCCACGAUUUACUUAAUUUUAAAAUGCUACUACACGGUUGAGAUUUAUGUAUUGUCAUGGCAUGUUCAUAUACAUUUUAUCUGUUCAUAAAUGUUGCAUUAUUAUGAGAUGCUAAAACAAUCCUACGGGAUAUGCCGGUAAAUUUAGGUAAGUUAUUAUAUUAUUGCAAUCAUAGAAUCAUUAUGGCAUGCAUAUAUUCAUGUAAUGCUCAUCAUUGCUACACCCGGUGUUAGUGCUCCCGCCCCGAGCUAGAGUCAGCCCGUCAUGUGUAUGUUCACCUCCAGCACCGCACGCUCGCCUUAGAUCCAAGUAUGUGCUAGCCUGUCAUACAAGUCGCAUUAGGUGACUUCGACUCUUAGGUGACCGUGCAUAGCGCUAGCUCCACAUGAGG